GUCCUUUUCGUGUGUUGUUAUCCUUAGAUCGCUUCCAUUAAGGGUAUACGUUGCUUGUGUAUUCUUUACGCCGAAGUGCAUAACUUUGCAUUUUUCAACAUUAAAUUUCAUCUGCCAUUUGACAUUGUAGUCUUUAAAGGGAUACCACUCACCAGAAGAGCAACAGCUUAAUGCAAUUGUUCUGGUGAGUAUAGCCAGUCCCUGCAGGCAUGUUAAUGUAAACCCUGCC